UAACCAAAUCAAGCCCGGCUUGGUGUUGGGCGCCGGGGUGACCCGCGCCUCGAAUCGAUGGGCUGUUGAACAGAGCGGCCGAUCGCCUAGCGUAGUGAUUCAAUUCUCGCACAGCGCGACCGCUCUGGCCCUAGUCGAAUUGGUGGAUUCCACCAGCAGG
rnacentral:misc_RNA from 1 species